AUCCCUCUUCAAACUCUGUAUCUGAAACUUCAGAAAACCCCCAAGUUUCACCUUCAUCUUCAUCGCACAGCCUUAUUCCGCCGCACCUCCAUCUUCAUCGCACAACCCUAUUCCGCCGGAGAUCUAGUUCCUCAUCGCAUGCCACCCCUUCUCGUCGUUUAGAGUUCGUUUUUGUAGCUGGAGAUCUGUUCUUCACCGCACACCGCUAUGGUGGUAUGGCGAAGACGAGCGGGACGAUGGCGGAAGGAACGGCGGUGACGGCGGAAGGAGUGGGCUUCUGUUUUGGUCGGAGAUCUUGUUGAUUCGGGUCUCAACAUCGGUAACGAUAACAAUAGAAGGGUCUAAACCCUAGCAAUGGUGGCGGUUCCAAAACAGAUCCGAUGAGCAGGAGAAAGAGAGAGUGGUGGACCAGGCGGUUGUGGUGUUAUGAGUUUAGAGAGAAAGAGAGAGUGGCAGUGGUGGUGUUAUGAGUUUAGAGCGAGAGAGAGAGUGGCGGUGGAGUAGCUCCGAUGAUGGUGGUGGUCAUGUCUUAGGCGGUGGCAGUGGUGGACUUGGGCAGUGGUUGACUGGUUUUAUUUUAGAAAGAGAAAAGAAUGAAACAAGCAGCAUUAUUUAUAUACAUGUUAUUUUUUGGUUUUAUUUAUUAAAUACCAUUUAAAUAAAAUAGGAAAUGACCAGAAUACCCUUAUGUAA